GCGGAAAUAGCUCAGUGGUAGAGCACCACCUUGCCAAGGUGGGGGUCGCGGGUUCGAACCCCGCUUUCCGCU
rnacentral:tRNA from 1 species